rnacentral:tRNA from 1 species
UCCCUGAUGGCUCAGAUAGUAAAGUGUCUGCCUGCAAUGCAGGAGACCCAGGUUUAAUUCCUGGGCCGGAAG